AAGUCGUAACAAGGUUUCCGUAGGUGAACCUGCGGAAGGAUCAUUACCAAGAGAAAUCUUUCAACACUGAAAGAUCUUUUCCUUUGUGCUGGCUUUGACCGUAUGUAAUUUUGGGACUUUAAAAUGGUUCGCAAGGGCCGGUCCCAAAAACAAUAUAUCAUCCUUAUGAAAUUUUUUCUGAACAAUUAAACAAAUGAUUUUAAUAAUCUGUUUAAAACAACUUUCAACAACGGAUCUCUUGGUUCUCGCAUCGAUGAAGAACGCAGCGAAAUGCGAUACGUAAUGUGAAUUGCAGAAUUCAGUGAAUCAUCGAAUCUUUGAACGCACAUUGCACUCCUUGGUAUUCCGAGGAGUAUGCCUGUUUCAGUAUCAUGAGCACUCUCACACCUAACCUUUGGGUUUAUGGCGUGGAAUUGGAAUGCGCCGACUGUCAUGGUUGGCCCUUCUAAAAUGUAGUUCUUGGCUGUCACCUAAUACAGCAGUUUGGCCUAAUAGUUUUGGCAUUCAUUGUCAAAUCUUUGGCUAACAUUUGCUCCAGGAGUCAGUCUUGAUAAUACAGAAAACUCAUUCAAAUUUUGAUCUGAAAUCAGGUAGGGCUACCCGCUGAACUUAA
rnacentral:rRNA from 1 species